AGUGAACGCUGGCGGUAGGCCUAGCACAUGCAAGUCGAACGGCAGCACAGUAAGAGCUUGCUCUUACGGGUGGCGAGUGGCGGACGGGUGAGGAAUACAUCGGAAUCUACUUUUUCGUGGGGGAUAACGUAGGGAAACUUACGCUAAUACCGCAUACGACCUACGGGUGAAAGCAGGGGAUCUUCGGACCUUGCGCGAUUGAAUGAGCCGAUGUCGGAUUAGCUAGUUGGCGGGGUAAAGGCCCACCAAGGCGACGAUCCGUAGCUGGUCUGAGAGGAUGAUCAGCCACACUGGAACUGAGACACGGUCCAGACUCCUACGGGAGGCAGCAGUGGGGAAUAUUGGACAGUGGGCGCAAGCCUGAUCCAGCCAUACCGCGUGGGUGAAGAAGGCCUUCGGGUUGUAAAGCCCUUUUGUUGGGAAAGAAAAGCAGCAGGUUAAUACCCCGCUGUUCUGACGGUACCCAAAGAAUAAGCACCGGCUAACUUCGU
rnacentral:rRNA from 1 species